GCCGAAAUAGCUCAGUUGGAGAGCGUUAGACUGAAGGUCCCUGGUUCGAUCCCAUUUUUCGGUA
rnacentral:tRNA from 1 species